rnacentral:lncRNA from 1 species
ACAGACAGGCCAGCCUUGCGGGGGGAAGGAAGGAAAAGUGUUUUAAUUUAGAUCUCAGAAGGCCCUAUGAAAAAAUGGGAACUGCUUCAGAGACAAGGAAAGAAACAAAAAAAUUCAGCAUGCCCUCAAUUUAAGUCUCUAAAGCAAUGAACACUAGAUGGCAGCAAAUCAACAUUUGUCAUUACUGGGGCCUGAAAGAUCCCAGUUUAAAGAUACGUUAUAGUGGAAAACAGAUUGAAAUAUUUGGUGUACUAGUUAUGAGACUGAUACCUGACUGGAUUUCAAGGAGAAAAAACUACAAAGGAGCUAAAAAGGAAAAAUUAAAAAGCAACUUUAUGUAUAUUUCAGAUCUUUCAAUGAAGAAUUUAUGGGCAAGUAUGAUUCUUAAGGAAACACUUUUAAGAGAGAAUUCUGAAAAGUGAUAUCCAGAGGAUAUGGAGAAUAGAUAUAUUCUGAUACAGUGCCAGUGAUGAAAGUGAUGAAAGUGGUUAUGCUAAAACCAUCACAACCCUAGAUCUGAUUGUUUGAUGUUUUAAUUCAAUUCACUUUUAGCUGUUUUAUUUCUCAUUCAAUAGCAAAGGACAGCAUUGUAUUUUGGGGGGUAAUAUUCUAGUAUUUUUCUAAGUGUGGGAUAAUGGCUUUAUCUCCUCCAUCAGUUGUCACUUGUGAGGUAACUCGGAGUCAUCCAACGCCAAAUUGCCAUGCCUUCAAUGGAGAAGGAAUGCUAGUUUAUUUUAGUCAAGAUUGGACUAACUGUCUAAUCAGUAUUAUCCAACUCUAAUUGCAAUGAGCCAUAAUUGCAAUGGGCCACAGAAAUCUAUUUCUGCU